AACGAACGCUGGCGGCAUGCCUAACACAUGCAAGUCGAACGAGACCUUCGGGUCUAGUGGCGCACGGGUGCGUAACGCGUGGGAACCUGCCCUUAGGUUCGGAAUAACUCCCCGAAAGGGGUGCUAAUACCGGAUAAUGUCUUCGGACCAAAGAUUUAUCGCCUUUGGAUGGGCCCGCGUUGGAUUAGCUAGUUGGUAGGGUAAAAGCGUACCAAGGCGACGAUCCAUAGCUGGUCUGAGAGGAUGAUCAGCCACACUGGGACUGAGACACGGCCCAGACUCCUGCGGGAGGCAGCAGUGGGGGAUAUUGGACAAUGGGCGAAGGCCUGAUCCAGCAAGGCCGCGUGAGUGAUGAAGGCCUUAGGGUAGUAAAGCUCUUUUACCCGGGAUGAUAAUGACAGUACCGGGAGAAUAAGCACCGGCUAACUCCGUG
rnacentral:rRNA from 1 species